rnacentral:rRNA from 1 species
GUGGGGAAUAUUGGACAAUGGGCGAAAGCCUGAUCCAGCCAUGCCGCGUGUGUGAAGAAGGCCUUUUGGUUGUAAAGCACUUUAAGCGAGGAGGAGGCUACUUAGAUUAAUACUCUAGGAUAGUGGACGUUACUCGCAGAAUAAGCACCGGCUAACUCUGUGCCAGCAGCCGCGGUAAUACAGAGGGUGCGAGCGUUAAUCGGAUUUACUGGGCGUAAAGCGUGCGUAGGCGGCUUCUUAAGUCGGAUGUGAAAUCCCUGAGCUUAACUUAGGAAUUGCAUUCGAUACUGGGAAGCUAGAGUAUGGGAGAGGAUGGUAGAAUUCCAGGUGUAGCGGUGAAAUGCGUAGAGAUCUGGAGGAAUACCGAUGGCGAAGGCAGCCAUCUGGCCUAAUACUGACGCUGAGGUACGAAAGCAUGGGGAGCAA